rnacentral:lncRNA from 1 species
AUUCUUGAUUAUUUCUUAAAAUUUUUGUGUUUUUGUGACUUUUACAACUAGGUCCACUUGUUGAAUUCAUUAGUUUUUGAUUCUAUGAAAGAAAUUGAAAGUUUCUAUGAAUAUGUGCUGGAAGUAUAUGAUGAUUUGGCAUGGAAUUAGAGCUUUAAAUUGUUUAUAUGCUGAUUUUAUUGAAAGAAUUGAAUAAAAAGUGAAUGUUUGGGAC